rnacentral:rRNA from 1 species
GUGUCAGCAGCCGCGGUAAUACGUAGGGGGCGAGCGUUGUCCGGAUUUAUUGGGCGUAAAGCGCGCGUAGGCGGUGCCGUAAGUCGGCCGUGAAAUCUCCAGGCUCAACUUGGAGGGGUCGGGCGAGACUGCGGUGCUCGAGGUGGGCAGAGGCCGGUGGAAUUCCGGGUGUAGUGGUGGAAUGCGUAGAGAUCCGGAGGAACACCAGUGGCGAAGGCGGCCGGCUGGGCCUGGCCUGACGCUGAGGCGCGAAAGCGUGGGGAGCGAUCCGGAUUAGAUACCCGGGUAGUCCACGCCGUAAACGAUGGGCACUAGGUGUCGGGGGUAUCGACCCCCUCGGUGCCGGCGCUAACGCAAUAAGUGCCCCGCCUGGGGAGUACGGCCGCAAGGCUAAA